rnacentral:tRNA from 2 species
GGACAGGUGGGUGAGUGGCUUAAACCAGCGGAUUGCUAAUCCGUCGUACUCCUUUAAGGGGUACCGAGGGUUCGAAUCCCUCCCUGUCCGCCA